rnacentral:tRNA from 1 species
GGAGAGGUGGCCGAGUGGCUGAAGGCACUCGCCUGCUAAGCGAGUAACGGGUUUAAACUCGUUCGCGGGUUCGAAUCCCGCCCUCUCCG